ACGACCGUGACCCGAUAAUCCGGUUUUAAUAAAUAAUGGUUUGGUUUAGUUUUAAUUAUUUCUUGAACAAAACCCUUAGUAAACCAAUUAUUUUACCUAACUAUAUAAUUGUCUUAUUCUUCCUAAACGUGAGCCGCCAGCACUCUUCUCCACACCACCUUCUUCUUCUUCUUCCUAAUUCAUGAUCUCCAUGUUCCCUUCUCUCCAUUUUAUUCUUCUCUUGAUGUUGAUAUUGAUGUUGAUCAAAGGAUGGAAUCAUUGCCUCGAGGUCACUGUCUUGCUUGUCGUCCUAGCCACCUCGUCACGUCGGACACACAACCGUGACUUUGGUGCCACCGUCCCAUCACCACCUCUUGACGUUGGGUUGUUGCAGCCCACCGGAGAGACAUGCCGUCAUUGACUUAGUCGCCGCAAGUCACCGCCGUCAAGACCCGUGCAAGUAAAUCAUGAUCUCAUCACUUGCUUGCCCACCAAGUUUCUUAAGUUUGAUUGUUCACUUGUACCAAUUUCUGAGCCAACGUCAUGAGCCGUGAACCCAUGCGUAAAGGUUUAAGUGACUUUGUUUAUUUCUUGAGCAGGAAGUUACUGUAAACCCUAGCCCUAACUGUCUCUUUUUGUUUCUUUUUCCGAUCGUUUCCUUUAUGCGCUAAGGUGAAGCCGGUCUAAGCCUUUCCAAUCAUUGGUUUCUUUUAUGUUUCCGGUUCUCCGAUAUUGGCUAAGGUGAGACCGACGGGCAGGAGUGAUUACUAUCGGAUUGGUGCUUUGGGAGUUUUAUUUCUUUCUUUUUCAAACUUGCGGAUUUUAUGCUUUUAUCGAUAUUCUCGAGAUUUAUUAUGUUAUUUGGAUUUAUGGCUAUUUAUUGGAUUUACGACUUUGGAGUUGAACUUUUGAGAAGUAAUAAAUGGAGAUUUCAGAAUUUUAUUUGUUUAUUUUAUUUUGGAAAAUACGGGUGUUACAAUUUGGUAUCAGAGCGGAGUUCCGUCCCGGCUCUGACCCGGGAUGGCGAUUUAUGGGACUCGGAUUUCAACAAUUUUCAAUGUUUUGGGAUUGAGAGUUAAAAAAAAAAAAAAAAAAAAGGUGACACCCUUUUGUCCAGUAUCAUUUGGUUAGUUGUUAGCGUUACUAACUCUUUUAUUUUUGCAAGAGAAUACCAAGUUUCAAUUUGUUUUGUUGUUUGCUUUAUCUUGUGUUCUUCUUUCUUUCAUAGCCGUUGAAGUUCUUUCCCGGUUCUUCAUGGAAUUCGGGGCGAAUUCCGGUUAAGUGGGGAAGAAUUGUAACGACCGUGACCCGAUAAUCCGGUUUUAAUAAAUAAUGGUUUGGUUUAGUUUUAAUUAUUUCUUGAACAAAACCCUUAGUAAACCAAUUAUUUUACCUAACUAUAUAAUUGUCUUAUUCUUCCUAAACGUGAGCCGCCAGCACUCUUCUCCACACCACCUUCUUCUUCUUCUUCCUAAUUCAUGAUCUCCAUGUUCCCUUCUCUCCAUUUUAUUCUUCUCUUGAUGUUGAUAUUGAUGUUGAUCAAAGGAUGGAAUCAUUGCCUCGAGGUCACUGUCUUGCUUGUCGUCCUAGCCACCUCGUCACGUCGGACACACAACCGUGACUUUGGUGCCACCGUCCCAUCACCACCUCUUGACGUUGGGUUGUUGCAGCCCACCGGAGAGACAUGCCGUCAUUGACUUAGUCGCCGCAAGUCACCGCCGUCAAGACCCGUGCAAGUAAAUCAUGAUCUCAUCACUUGCUUGCCCACCAAGUUUCUUAAGUUUGAUUGUUCACUUGUACCAAUUUCUGAGCCAACGUCAUGAGCCGUGAACCCAUGCGUAAAGGUUUAAGUGACUUUGUUUAUUUCUUGAGCAGGAAGUUACUGUAAACCCUAGCCCUAACUGUCUCUUUUUGUUUCUUUUUCCGAUCGUUUCCUUUAUGCGCUAAGGUGAAGCCGGUCUAAGCCUUUCCAAUCAUUGGUUUCUUUUAUGUUUCCGGUUCUCCGAUAUUGGCUAAGGUGAGACCGACGGGCAGGAGUGAUUACUAUCGGAUUGGUGCUUUGGGAGUUUUAUUUCUUUCUUUUUCAAACUUGCGGAUUUUAUGCUUUUAUCGAUAUUCUCGAGAUUUAUUAUGUUAUUUGGAUUUAUGGCUAUUUAUUGGAUUUACGACUUUGGAGUUGAACUUUUGAGAAGUAAUAAAUGGAGAUUUCAGAAUUUUAUUUGUUUAUUUUAUUUUGGAAAAUACGGGUGUUACAAUUUGGUAUCAGAGCGGGGUUCCGUCCCGGCUCUGACCCGGGAUGGCGAUUUAUGGGACUCGGAUUUCAACAAUUUUCAAUGUUUUGGGAUUGAGAGUUAAAAAAAAAAAAAAAAAAAGGUGACACCCUUUUGUCCAGUAUCAUUUGGUUAGUUGUUAGCGUUACUAACUCUUUUAUUUUUGCAAGAGAAUACCAAGUUUCAAUUUGUUUUGUUGUUUGCUUUAUCUUGUGUUCUUCUUUCUUUCAUAGCCGUUGAAGUUCUUUCCCGGUUCUUCAUGGAAUUCGGGGCGAAUUCCGGUUAAGUGGGGAAGAAUUGUAACGACCGUGACCCGAUAAUCCGGUUUUAAUAAAUAAUGGUUUGGUUUAGUUUUAAUUAUUUCUUGAACAAAACCCUUAGUAAACCAAUUAUUUUACCUAACUAUAUAAUUGUCUUAUUCUUCCUAAACGUGAGCCGCCAGCACUCUUCUCCACACCACCUUCUUCUUCUUCUUCCUAAUUCAUGAUCUCCAUGUUCCCUUCUCUCCAUUUUAUUCUUCUCUUGAUGUUGAUAUUGAUGUUGAUCAAAGGAUGGAAUCAUUGCCUCGAGGUCACUGUCUUGCUUGUCGUCCUAGCCACCUCGUCACGUCGGACACACAACCGUGACUUUGGUGCCACCGUCCCAUCACCACCUCUUGACGUUGGGUUGUUGCAGCCCACCGGAGAGACAUGCCGUCAUUGACUUAGUCGCCGCAAGUCACCGCCGUCAAGACCCGUGCAAGUAAAUCAUGAUCUCAUCACUUGCUUGCCCACCAAGUUUCUUAAGUUUGAUUGUUCACUUGUACCAAUUUCUGAGCCAACGUCAUGAGCCGUGAACCCAUGCGUAAAGGUUUAAGUGACUUUGUUUAUUUCUUGAGCAGGAAGUUACUGUAAACCCUAGCCCUAACUGUCUCUUUUUGUUUCUUUUUCCGAUCGUUUCCUUUAUGCGCUAAGGUGAAGCCGGUCUAAGCCUUUCCAAUCAUUGGUUUCUUUUAUGUUUCCGGUUCUCCGAUAUUGGCUAAGGUGAGACCGACGGGCAGGAGUGAUUACUAUCGGAUUGGUGCUUUGGGAGUUUUAUUUCUUUCUUUUUCAAACUUGCGGAUUUUAUGCUUUUAUCGAUAUUCUCGAGAUUUAUUAUGUUAUUUGGAUUUAUGGCUAUUUAUUGGAUUUACGACUUUGGAGUUGAACUUUUGAGAAGUAAUAAAUGGAGAUUUCAGAAUUUUAUUUGUUUAUUUUAUUUUGGAAAAUACGGGUGUUACAAUUUGGUAUCAGAGCGGAGUUCCGUCCCGGCUCUGACCCGGGAUGGCGAUUUAUGGGACUCGGAUUUCAACAAUUUUCAAUGUUUUGGGAUUGAGAGUUAAAAAAAAAAAAAAAAAAAGGUGACACCCUUUUGUCCAGUAUCAUUUGGUUAGUUGUUAGCGUUACUAACUCUUUUAUUUUUGCAAGAGAAUACCAAGUUUCAAUUUGUUUUGUUGUUUGCUUUAUCUUGUGUUCUUCUUUCUUUCAUAGCCGUUGAAGUUCUUUCCCGGUUCUUCAUGGAAUUCGGGGCGAAUUCCGGUUAAGUGGGGAAGAAUUGUAACGACCGUGACCCGAUAAUCCGGUUUUAAUAAAUAAUGGUUUGGUUUAGUUUUAAUUAUUUCUUGAACAAAACCCUUAGUAAACCAAUUAUUUUACCUAACUAUAUAAUUGUCUUAUUCUUCCUAAACGUGAGCCGCCAGCACUCUUCUCCACACCACCUUCUUCUUCUUCUUCCUAAUUCAUGAUCUCCAUGUUCCCUUCUCUCCAUUUUAUUCUUCUCUUGAUGUUGAUAUUGAUGUUGAUCAAAGGAUGGAAUCAUUGCCUCGAGGUCACUGUCUUGCUUGUCGUCCUAGCCACCUCGUCACGUCGGACACACAACCGUGACUUUGGUGCCACCGUCCCAUCACCACCUCUUGACGUUGGGUUGUUGCAGCCCACCGGAGAGACAUGCCGUCAUUGACUUAGUCGCCGCAAGUCACCGCCGUCAAGACCCGUGCAAGUAAAUCAUGAUCUCAUCACUUGCUUGCCCACCAAGUUUCUUAAGUUUGAUUGUUCACUUGUACCAAUUUCUGAGCCAACGUCAUGAGCCGUGAACCCAUGCGUAAAGGUUUAAGUGACUUUGUUUAUUUCUUGAGCAGGAAGUUACUGUAAACCCUAGCCCUAACUGUCUCUUUUUGUUUCUUUUUCCGAUCGUUUCCUUUAUGCGCUAAGGUGAAGCCGGUCUAAGCCUUUCCAAUCAUUGGUUUCUUUUAUGUUUCCGGUUCUCCGAUAUUGGCUAAGGUGAGACCGACGGGCAGGAGUGAUUACUAUCGGAUUGGUGCUUUGGGAGUUUUAUUUCUUUCUUUUUCAAACUUGCGGAUUUUAUGCUUUUAUCGAUAUUCUCGAGAUUUAUUAUGUUAUUUGGAUUUAUGGCUAUUUAUUGGAUUUACGACUUUGGAGUUGAACUUUUGAGAAGUAAUAAAUGGAGAUUUCAGAAUUUUA